rnacentral:rRNA from 1 species
AAUCAACGCUGGCGGCGUGCCUAAUACAUGCAAGUCGAACGGGGAAAGCUUUCGGGUGAGUACUAGUGGCGCACGGGUGAGGAACGCGUGGAUAAUCUGCCUUAGAGUGGGGGAUAACUAGUCGAAAGAUUAGCUAAUACCGCAUAAGACCACAGGAGCUGCGGCUCUAGGGGUCAAAGGUUUUUCGCUCUAAGAUGAGUCCGCGUAAGAUUAGCUAGUUGGUGAGGUAACGGCUCACCAAGGCGACGAUCUUUAACUGGUCUGAGAGGAUGAUCAGUCACACUGGAACUGAGACACGGUCCAGACUCCUACGGGAGGCAGCAGUAGGGAAUAUUGCACAAUGGAGGAAACUCUGAUGCAGCGACGCCGCGUGAGUGAUGAAGGCCUUCGGGUCGUAAAGCUCUGUCGCAGGGGAAUAACACAAUGAAUGUACCCUGUAAGAAAGGAUCGGCUAACUUCGUGCCAGCAGCCGCCGUAAGAC